rnacentral:rRNA from 1 species
GACGAACGCUGGCGGCGCGCCUAAAACAUGCAAGUCGAAUGAGAAACCCGGGCUUGCCCGGGUGGACAGUGGCGAACGGGUGAGUAACACGUGAGGAACCUGCCCCGAAGACCGGGACAACAUCGGGAAACCGGUGCUAAUACCGGAUACCUUCACCGGAUCGCAUGGCCUGGUGAAGAAAUGGAUUCCGCUUCGGGAUGGCCUCGCGGCCUAUCAGCUUGUUGGUGAGGUAACGGCUCACCAAGGCGACGACGGGUAGCUGGUCUGAGAGGAUGUCCAGCCACACUGGGACUGAGACACGGCCCAGACUCCUACGGGAGGCAGCAGUUAGGAAUCUUGCGCAAUGGACGAAAGUCUGACGCAGCGACGCCGCGUGCGGGAUGAAGGCCCUCGGGUUGUAAACCGCUUUCAGCAGGGACGAAAUUGACGGUACCUGCAGAAGAAGCCCCGGCCAACUACGUGCCAGCAGCCGCGGUAAAAC